ACUUUUUACAAUAUAACUGUUG
rnacentral:snRNA from 1 species